UACAACACUCGGAUGUCAUGUCCGUGAGAGCUCGAGUCUCACUGUCAUGAAACAUGUAUAGGUUCUAAAUAGAGAUUCAUAACCAACAUGAUGAAACGGAAGCAAAGUUCUUGAGGAGAAGGCAGCUCUAGAAGCUAAGUAUCAAAAGUUAUAGCAGUCUUUCUAUACCAAGCGAUAUGAGAUUGUGACCGGUGUGGUUGGAGUUGAAGAUUAACCUAAAGAAGUAAAAAGAGCCGGGAGAGGAUAAAGUGAUACUGGUUCCAGACAGAAGAUUCACUCAAUGGAUGGGCAUUACAGGCCACUGAUAUACAUGAGGCCUCUCGCAAUACGGGGAGUGCAAUGGGCAUUGUCGCUGCAAAAGGCAAUCCUUGAUACUCCUAAGAUCAACAUGAUGGCCAGAGUUCACAUGUCCCCUGUGAGCCGCAUAUUCUCUCACAACUCCAAAGUUGUAACACACAAAGUAUUUUAUCUCCUUCCUUAUGCUUAAUGGAGUUCCUGAGAGGCCAGAACUCACUCCCUAUGAGUCCCAUUGGUAUAUAGGCGGCAUAAGCUAAAUAAGGACUUGAUAUGGAAUCUCUUUCCAGAGUAGAGAGUGAAGUUAGAGAGGAAUUAGCACAAACACCAUGACAACGAGAAGCCUGAGCUGGAAGCAGUGUUAUUUCGAUUUCAUUAAAGAAGAAGCUGGGCGGCUAUUUAGAACAUUGCAAACAAUUCUCUGGCCUGAUGACACCCCAUAGGAUGGAGGAGGUUAUGUUGUUGUAAUUGGGAUUUUGGGAUCAGUUAUAAGAGUAUUUUUCUUAUUGGCUCUUUCUUGCUUGAUCUUCCUGGCAGGUACUUUCAAACUCUCACUGCAGUUCUCUGAAGAUUAUCCAAAUAAACAACCAACCGUUCGUUUUGUGUCACGGAUGUUUCAUCCAAAUAUUUAUGCAGAUGGGAGUAUUUGCUUGGACAUUCUACAAAACCAGUGGAGUCCAAUAUAUGAUGUUGCUGCUAUACUUACCUCCAUCCAGUCAUCUCCUGCAAAUUCGGAAGCCGCUCGGAUUUACAGCGAAAACAAGCGUGAGUACAACAGAAAAGUGUGUGAUGUUGUCGAGCAAAGCUGGACUGCGACUAGUAGUAGUUAGAGUUGUAAGCUGUGUAACUCUCCUGUCCUAUCUCAAUGUCUUUCAUUCAUGUAUUUUGUGUUGUGUGUUUCAAAACUCUACUGAUUGGAUGCUUUGAUGGCUCUAUGAAACCUUUGUACCAAA